rnacentral:rRNA from 1 species
UACGGAGGGUGCAAGCGUUGCUCGGAAUUAUUGGGCGUAAAGGGUAGGUAGGUGGUCUCAUUUGUCUGGGGUGAAAUCCUUGAGCUUAACUCAAGAAGUGCCCCAGAAACGGUGAGACUAGAGUCCUGGAGAGGGUCGUGGAAUUCCCGGUGUAGCGGUGAAAUGCGUAGAGAUCGGGAGGAACACCAGAGGCGAAGGCGGCAUCCUGGACCGAGAUUGACGCUGAACAGCGAAAGCUAGGGGAGCAAACGGG